rnacentral:rRNA from 1 species
AGUGAACGCUUGCGGUAGGCCUAACACAUGCGAGUCGAACGGCAGCACAGUAAGAGCUUGCUCUUACGGGUGGCGAGUGGCGGACGGGUGAGGAAUACAUCGGAAUCUACUUUUUCGUGGGGGAUAACGUAGGGAAACUUACGCUAAUACCGCAUACGACCUACGGGUGAAAGCAGGGGAUCUUCGGACCUUGCGCGAUUGAAUGAGCCGAUGUCGGAUUAGCUAGUUGGCGGGGUAAAGGCCCACCAAGGCGACGAUCCGUAGCUGGUCUGAGAGGAUGAUCAGCCACACUGGAACUGAGACACGGUCCAGACUCCUACGGGAGGCAGCAGUGGGGAAUAUUAGGCAAUGGGCGCAAGCCUGAUCCAGCCAUACCGCGUGGGUGAAGAAAGCCUUCGGGUUGUAAAGCCCUUUUGUUAGGAAAGAAAAGCAGAAGGUUAAUACCCCGCUGUUCUGACGGUACCAAAAGAAUAAGCACCGGCUAACUUCGUG